rnacentral:rRNA from 1 species
GACGAACGCUGACGGUGUGCUUUAGACAUGCAAGUCGAACGAGAAAGCCCUUCGGGGUUAGUAAAGUGGCGAACGGGUGAGUAACACGUGGGCAAUCUGCCCCUCGCAGGGGGACAACCGGAGGAAACUCCGGCUAAUACCCCGUAAGUUCAAAGGGAGGCAUCUCUCUUCGAAGAAAGGUAGCUUCGGCCAUCCGGCGAGGAUGAGCCCGCGGUGCAUUAGCUAGUUGGUGGGGUAACGGCCUACCAAGGCGGCGAUGUAUAGCUGGUCUGAGAGGAUGAUCAGCCACACUGGGACUGAGACACGGCCCAGACUCCUACGGGAGGCAGCAGUCGGGAAUCUUGCACAAUGGGCGAAAAGCCUGAUGCAGCAACACCGUGUGAGCGAUGAAGGCCCUAGGGUCGUAAAGCUCUGUUGUUGGGGACGAAGGGCGAAGGGUUAAUAGCCCCCAGCUUGACCGGUACCUUCGAGGAAGCUCCGGCUAACUACGUGCCAGCA